GGGGAUUUAGCUCAGUGGUAGAGCGCUUGCCUAGCAAGCGCGAAAGGCCCUGGGUUCGGUCCCCAGCUCCG
rnacentral:tRNA from 1 species